GUAGGGUCCGAGCGUUAUCCGGAAUCAUUGGGCGUAAAGAGCUCGUAGGCGGUUCAGCAAGUCGGCUGUGAAAGUUCGAGGCUCAACCUCGAAAUUGCAGUCGAUACUGCUGUGACUUGAAUUCGGUAGAGGAGAAUGGAAUUCCCGGUGUAGCGGUGAAAUGCGCAGAUAUCGGGAGGAACACCAGUAGCGAAGGCGGUUCUCUGGGCCGAUAUUGACGCUGAGGAGCGAAAGCGUGGGGGGAGCAAACAGGAUUAGAUACCCUGGUAGUCCACGCCGUAAACGUUGGAUGCUAGGUGUGGCGGUCUACCAACGACUGCCGUGCCGAAGCUAACGCGUUAAGCGUCCCCGCCUGGGAGUACGGCCGCAAGGCUA
rnacentral:rRNA from 1 species